GCCUGGGUAGCUCAGUCUGUUGAGUGUCUGACUUCAGCUCAGGUCAUGAUCUCACAGUUCGUGAGUUCAAGUCCCACGCUGGGCU
rnacentral:tRNA from 1 species